UAAGUAUGGAGUGAAAGCGUUCGGCUCAACCGAAUAAACAUUUCAUAAACUGCUCAGCUAGAGAAUGAGAGAGGUGAAUGGAAUUCCCAGUGUAGGAGUGAAAUCCGUAGAUAUUGGGAGGAACACCGAUGGCGUAGGCAGUUCACUGGCUCAUUUCUGACACUAAGGCACGAAAGCGUGGGUAGCAAACAGGAUUAGAUACCCUGGUAGUCCACGCCGUAAACUAUGGAUGCUA
rnacentral:rRNA from 1 species